GCUGGAUUAGCUCAUUCGGUAGAGCACAUCACUCGUAAUGAUGAGGUGGUGGGUUCGAUUCCCACAUCCAGCUCCA
rnacentral:tRNA from 1 species